UUGACGGUAUCUGAGGAAUAAGCAUCGGCUAACUCUGUGCCAGCAGCCGCGGUAAGACAGAGGAUGCAAGCGUUAUCCGGAAUGAUUGGGCGUAAAGCGUCUGUAGGUGGCUUCAAAAGUCUUCUGUCAAAGAUCAGGGCUUAACCCUGGGCCGGCAGGAGAAUACUCUUAGGCUAGAGUAUGGUAGGGGCAGAGGGAAUUCCCGGUGGAGCGGUGAAAUGCGUAGAGAUCGGGAGGAACACCAAAGGCGAAAGCACUCUGCUGGGCCACAACUGACACUGAGAGAAC
rnacentral:rRNA from 1 species